GUCAUCCUCAGUUCGGACUGGGGUCUGCAACCCGACCCCACGAAGCUGGAUUCGCUAGUAAUCGCGCAUCAGCCAUGGCGCGGUGAAUACGUUCCCGGGCCUUGUACACACCGCCCGUCAAGCCAUGAAAGCCGGGGGCGCCUGAAGUCCGUGACCGCGAGGGUCGGCCUAGGGUGAAACUGGUGAUUGGGGCUAAGUCGUAACAAGGUAAC
rnacentral:rRNA from 1 species